UAUGUGCAAUCAUAUACGCAGCUACAGGCCGGUCGUGGGUGCCAUGCAGCUGCUGGGCCGUGGUCGUCAUAAAAGGGUCUGGACCGCCACGGCUGCCAGUGAGUGGAGGACACAUACCCUCGGAAGACGAACCACCGCAGCUGCAGCCAUGGACCGCACACUGGCUUUGACGAUUGUUCUGCUGUCGAUAAGCGCCUUGUUGAGUGCACUGAGGGGCCAGCCGACCACAGAGAGCCCGUUUCAAUGCACCGCCAAAGAUGGACUGUUCCCUGACCCCGAUGACUGCCACGGGUUCUACGAGUGCAACGAUUACAUUCCGUGGCACUUUGACUGUCCCAGCGGCCUGGCCUGGAACGACGCCGCCCACCAAUGCGACUACGACGCAAGCUGUCCAUAGCAGGGCCAGCCUGCUGGGGAGGGGCCCAGCUGGGGUCACCUCCGGACUAUCUGCCUUCUGGGGCGGCCGGCCGAGACGGUCAGGGGCACCUACAGGGACAAAUGUCGGUGGAAAAGCACCAAUCGACGGAUCGUGAUCAGAUGACGUCUCAGGCUGGUGUGUUUAUGCCUGAUGUUUUGUAAAUAUGACUUUAAUGCAAACUACAUCGCAUAAUGAUGGUGCUGUUGACAAAAAGCUGAAAACCAAUGUGGCGAUGUGUUGAUAUGUGAAUAUACAUAAAAUUAUGUAAUGUCUAAUAUAUGACGUCUGUGGUUUGGAUGA
rnacentral:lncRNA from 1 species